AGAGUUUGAUCAUGGCUCAGAUUGAACGCUGGCGGCAGGCCUAACACAUGCAAGUCGAGCGGUAACACAGAGGAGCUUGCUCCUUGGGUGACGAGCGGCGGACGGGUGAGUAAUGCCUGGGGAUCUGCCCGAUAGAGGGGGAUAACUACGGGAAACUGUAGCUAAUACCGCAUAAUGUCUACGGACCAAAGUGGGGGCUCUUCGGACCUCAUGCUAUCGGAUGAACCCAGGUGGGAUUAGCUAGUUGGUGAGGUAAUGGCUCACCAAGGCGACGAUCUCUAACUGGUUUGAGAGAAUGACCAGUCACACUGGAACUGAGACACGGUCCAGACUCCUACGGGAGGCAGCAGUGGGGAAUAUUGCACAAUGGGCGCAAGCCUGAUGCAGCCAUGCCGCGUGUGUGAAGAAGGCCUUCGGGUUGUAAAGCACUUUCAGCGGGGAGGAAGGGUCACUAGUUAAUACCUAGUGGCAUUGACGUUACUCGCAGAAGAAGCACCGGCUAACUCCGUGCCAGCAGCCGCGGUAAUACGGAGGGUGCAAGCGUUAAUCGGAAUUACUGGGCGUAAAGCGCACGCAGGCGGUUUGUUAAGUCAGAUGUGAAAUCCCCGAGCACAACUUGGGAACUGCAUUUGAGACUGGCAAGCUAGAGUCUCGUAGAGGGGGGUAGAAUUCCAGGUGUAGCGGUGAAAUGCGUAGAGAUCUGGAGGAAUACCGGUGGCGAAGGCGGCCCCCUGGACAAAGACUGACGCUCAGGUGCGAAAGCGUGGGGAGCAAACAGGAUUAGAUACCCCGGUAGUCCAA
rnacentral:rRNA from 1 species